rnacentral:tRNA from 1 species
GCCACCGUAGCUCAAUUUGGCAGAGCAGCGGUUUUGUAAACCGCAGGUUGUGGGUUCGAGUCCCUCCGGUGGCU